CCCUAUGACUUCUGGAAUAGGCUCCAGCACCCCCGUGACCCUUAAUUGCAGUAAGUGGAUAUAGAAGAUGGAUGGGAUGGAUGACUUUCUUGUCAAGU